CCAGACCGCCAGCUAAGGUCCCAAAGUCAUGGUUAAGUGGGAAACGAUGUGGGAAGGCCCAGACAGCCAGGAUGUUGGCUUAGAAGCAGCCAUCAUUUAAAGAAAGCGUAAUAGCUCACUGGUCGAGUCGGCCUGCGCGGAAGAUGUAACGGGGCUAAACCAUGCACCGAAGCUGCGGCAGCGACACUAUGUGUUGUUGGGUAGGGGAGCGUUCUGUAAGCCUGUGAAGGUGGCCUGUGAGGGUUGCUGGAGGUAUCAGAAGUGCGAAUGCUGACAUAAGUAACGAUAAAGCGGGUGAAAAGCCCGCUCGCCGGAAGACCAAGGGUUCCUGUCCAACGUUAAUCGGGGCAGGGUGAGUCGACCCCUAAGGCGAGGCCGAAAGGCGUAGUCGAUGGGAAACAGGUUAAUAUUCCUGUACUUGGUGUUACUGCGAAGGGGGGACGGAGAAGGCUAUGUUGGCCGGGCGACGGUUGUCCCGGUUUAAGCGUGUAGGCUGGUUUUCCAGGCAAAUCCGGAAAACCAAGGCUGAGGCGUGAUGACGAAGCACUACGGUGCUGAAGC
rnacentral:rRNA from 1 species